rnacentral:misc_RNA from 1 species
CAGAACUCUCUCAAGCGUUACCACCAAAGAAUCCGGAACAGCAAAAGCAAUAUCACCAGCCUGAAGAUCCUCACUGGCAGCAACGUAGUGAAUAGGCAGAUGUUUCGCAUCAUGCGAAGGCCUAUCCUUAAUAACAACUUUACAAGGAGGCAAUCCAUUUUCGUGCAUCCAUGAUUUCAAGUCCCCAUACUCACCCUCUUUCUUACUAGCAACUUCAAGAGAUUUACUCCCUUCCUUAACCGGACCAUUAUCAACAAGUGUAUCUGAG